UACGUAGGGUGCGAGCGUUGUCCGGAUUUACUGGGCGUAAAGAGCGUGUAGGCGGCCAAACAGGUCCGUUGUGAAAACUGGAGGCUCAACCUCCAGACGUCGACGGAAACCGUGUGGCUAGAGUCCGGAAGAGGAGAGUGGAAUUCCUGGUGUAGCGGUGAAAUGCGCAGAUAUCAGGAAGAACACCAAUGGCGAAGGCAGCUCUCUGGGACGGUACUGACGCUGAGACGCGAAAGCGUGGGGAGCGAACAGG
rnacentral:rRNA from 1 species